UACGUAGGCAGCAAGCGUUGUUCGGAGUUACUGGGCGUAAAGGGUGCGUAGGCGGCUUCUUAAGUCUGGUGUGAAAUCUCCCGGCUCAACUGGGAGGGUGCGCCGGAUACUGAGGGGCUAGAGUGUGGGAGAGGAAAGUGGAAUUCCUGGUGUAGCGGUGAAAUGCGUAGAUAUCAGGAGGAACACCGGUGGUGUAAACGGCUUUCUGGACCAUAACUGACGCUGAGGCACGAAAGCGUGGGGAGCGAACAGG
rnacentral:rRNA from 1 species